AGAUCCAGAAAACAAACAGUAGA
rnacentral:snRNA from 1 species